AUUGAACGCUGGCGGCAUGCCUAACACAUGCAAGUCAAGCGAGCGGCGGACGGGUGUGUAAUGUAUGGGGACUGCCCGAUAGAGGGGGAUAACUACUGGAAACGGUAGCUAAUACCGCAUACUAUCGGAUAACCCAUAUGGGAUUAGCUAGUAGGUGAGGUAAUGGCUCACCUAGGCGACGAUCCCUAGCUGGUCUGAGAGGAUGAUCAGCAACACUGUGACGGAGACGCGGCCCAGACUCCGACGGAGGCAGUAUUGGGGAAUAUUGCACAAUGGGCGCAAGCCUGAGACAGCCAAGCCGCGUGUAUGAAGAAGGCCCUAGGGUUGUAAAGUACUUUCAGUCGGGAGGCGUUACCGACAGAAGAAGCACCGGCUAACUCCGUGCCAGCAGCCGCGGUAAUAC
rnacentral:rRNA from 1 species